CCUACGGGAGGCAGCAGUGAGGAAUAUUGGUCAAUGGACGCAAGUCUGAACCAGCCAUGCCGCGUGCAGGAUGACGGCCCUAUGAGUUGUACACUGCUUUUGUACGAGGGUAAACGCCGAUACGCGUAUCUGUCUGAAAGUAUCGUACGAAUAAGCAUCGGCUAACUCCGUGCCAGCAGCCGCGGUAAUACGGAGGAUUCAAGCGUUAUCCGGAUUUAUUGGGUUUAAAGGGUGCGUAGGCGGUCGGAUAAGUUAGAGGUGAAAUCCCGAGGCUCAACCUCGGAAUGGCCUUUGAUACUGUUCGGCUAGAGAAUAGUUGAGGUAGGCGGAA
rnacentral:rRNA from 1 species